rnacentral:rRNA from 1 species
ACUCAAAGGAAUUGACGGGGACCCGCACAAGCGGUGGAGCAUGUGGUUUAAUUCGAAGCAACGCGAAGAACCUUACCAGGGUUUGACAUACGAGUGCUACUUCUAGAGAUAGAAGGUUUCUUCGGAACACUCGAUACAGGUGGUGCAUGGUUGUCGUCAGCUCGUGUCGUGAGAUGUUGGGUUAAGUCCCGCAACGAGCGCAACCCUUAUCGCUAGUUACUAACAUUAAGUUGAGGACUUUAGCGAGACUGCCAGUGAUAAACUGGAGGAAGGCGGGGAUGAGGUCAAAUCAUCAUGCCCCUUAUACCCUGGGCUACACACGUGCUACAAUGGUCGGUACAAAGAGAAGCGAAACGGUGACGUCAAGCAAACCUCAUAAAGCCGAUCUCAGUUCGGAUUGUAGUCUGCAACUCGACUACAUGAAGAUGGAAUCGCUAGUAAUCGCGGAUCAGAAUGCCGCGGUGAAUACGUUCCCGGGUCUUGCACACACCGCCCGU